AUGGCUCCCGGCGCGGGGGGCGCUCCCCCUGGCGGCCGCCCCCCCUGCCUUGCCCCGACCUUCCUCCACCUCCUCCUCCUCCUCCUCCUCCUCCUCCUCCUCCUCCUGCUGCCCCCAGCGGCCCGGGAGGAACUGAACGGGCGCCGCACAGGAAGUAGCGGCUGCGGGGAGCAGUGGUGGUGGCGGUGGAGGAGGAGGAGGAGGAGGCAGAGGCAGCAGCAGCAGCAGCAGCAUCAGGGGCUGCGGCGCUCCAUGAGCCCAGGCUCCCGCAGCCGCCCGGCCCCGCUCGUCCCCGGCACUCAGCGCCCAAGCCCGGGGGCUGGAGCUUCCCGAGGAGAAGGAGGAGGAGGAGGAGGGAGGCAGGCAAAUGAGAAAGCAAAUCUCUUGAAACAUAAGCAGUGGUACUUCCCUGGAGGGAGGAGAUGGGAAUUCUCCUGUUACUCUGAGAGUUGCCAGGUGCCAGAAGUGGUCCACAGUGGUGGUGUCUCUCAUGCAUAA
rnacentral:lncRNA from 1 species